GCAACAUUGGUCUAGUGGUUAGGAUUAUCGCCUUCCAAGCGAUAGGGCGGGGUUCGAUUCCCCGAUGUUGCA
rnacentral:tRNA from 1 species